CGAAAAAGUUACAGGUUUCUAAUACUAUUAAUACUAGAAACCUUUAAGCGAAGGCUCAAGUGCUCUCGCUACAAAUAGGGCAAAAGAACUGAGAAAUUAGUAACUACUACAAUGUCAGGAAACCUUUCAAAAGUAAAUGUUUGAAGGUUAUUGAGAAAAACUGGGGAUACAUCAAAAUCAGAGAAUUGGCUCCUGAAACCAUCAAGAAUGAUAGCAAAUUAUUUAUAUUUAAAAACACCACUAUCGUAAACUGUGAUGCAGAAAGAGUUUUCAGUAUGAUGAAGGACAUAAGUGUACCAAAAAAGUCACGUUUGACAGUGGGUCACAUCAAAGAUUUGAUGCUAAUCAGAUGGAAUUCGAACUUUAUCAAAAUUGGAGAUUUGUUAUAAAUAUAUUUGAAUGAUUCCAUAAAUCCUAAAAGUAAUUAUUGUAAUAUCUACAUAAAAAAUAAUAUUUUUGAUAUUUUAUAGGUACUUUUGUUUUAAGUUGACCAAUACAGCGAUUGUCAACUCCGAUUGAUAAAAGUGUUUUUUAUGGAUCAACUAUUAUAGGUACUUAAUGUUAUAAAUUAAAUUAAUAAAAGAUAAUUAAGUUAUUGACAUUAAUAAUUUUAGGAUUUUUAUGGUCUCAAUCAACUACAUAUUUGUAAGAUCUCUAAUUUUGUUGAUGUUCAAGUUAUAUCUGAUGAUAAUCAAUGCCUUGAUAUAACCCUCCAUUAAAAGUGAUAUUUUUCUAGGGUUAUGUCCCUCAUCGUACGGAAAACUGCCCCAACUUACGAUAAGAUUAUUUUAUAAAGUACUUGCUAUCGUUAUUAAUGGGUUAAGGAGACAAUUCUUGCAGUUUGAUGUACCCCAAGGUUAAUAGAAAUCAAAGGUGAAAAUACGGUAUAGAAUGAGCAUGUUAAAAAAAAAAACCGAAAAUCAACAUAGUAACAUUGAAGAAUGUUUUGGAGGAGAGAAAGAAUAAUGGUCCUGACGUUUCAUUAGACUGGGAUCUAAUAAAGAGGGGUAAAGUCCGCCUCACACUAUAAAAUUGCUGUGGGGAAAGGAAAAAUUAUUUUGUUCUUUGAUUUUUCCUAAAAUGAAUAUCCCUCCAAAGAGAAGAUACGAUGGUCAAUAAUUGCCAGAGGUGGGAACUUGGACUUGAGACUUGCGACUCGAGUUGGACUUGAGUCCAUAUUUUGAAGACGAUCUUACAUUCAAAGACUCGAGACUUGAUUUGGACUUCAAAGCUAGUAUAUUGCAGACUCAGGAAAAGGGAUAACACUAUGGACCCUAUAAUAUAGUAAUGGACUUGAAAUGAGCUUGAAUGACAUCUGAGGACUCCAUGAAAAUAUUCAAGGACUUGGACUUGACGUGAGAUUUGAAGUUGACUCACAGUAUAAUGAGGUUUUCCCUACUCAGAUUAAUGCUAUAUUGUAAGCUGCAGGAGUGGAACAGAUACUUCUAAAUCUUUGGAGGCUAUGGAUUAAAGAUAUCUGUAGAAAGGAUAAGACACUUACUAUAAUUCAAGUGUAGACUCAUUACAUUGUUGAAUAAGAACUUUGAAGACGACAUAUCGGAUAACAAAUCAUCCGUUCUACAUGUUAUGGCCUAUUAAAAAAAGCAAACUAAAAUAGAUAUAGUUCCAUCAAUCUUCGUACACAAAACAUACUCCUUAAUCUUACAAAAUGUGAAAUAGAAAUUUGGCAUUUUGUGAAGAAAGAUACAGUAAAUAAUUGGAAAUAUUAAAUGAAAAAUAG
rnacentral:lncRNA from 1 species